rnacentral:rRNA from 1 species
UUCGGAUGGAAUUGAUAAGUUCUAGCGGCGGACGGGUGAGUAACGCGUGAGCAACCUGCCCUCCACAGGGGGAUAACGCACCGAAAGGUGCACUAAUACCGCAUAAGACCACGUUUCUGACAUGGGAAUGAAGUCAAAGGAGCAAUCCGGUGGAAGAUGGGCUCGCGUCUGAUUAGCUAGUUGGUGAGGUAACGGCCCACCAAGGCGACGAUCAGUAGCCGACCUGAGAGGGUGAUCGGCCACAUUGGAACUGAGAGACGGUCCAGACUCC